CGAGAGAGAGCUUGCUUUCUCGAGCGAGUGGCGAACGGGUGAGUAACGCGUGAGGAACCUGCCUCAAAGAGGGGGACAACAGUUGGAAACGACUGCUAAUACCGCAUAAGCCCACGGGUCGGCAUCGACCAGAGGGAAAAGGAGCAAUCCGCUUUGAGAUGGCCUCGCGUCCGAUUAGCUAGUUGGUGAGGUAACGGCCCACCAAGGCGACGAUCGGUAGCCGGACUGAGAGGUUGAACGGCCACAUUGGGACUGAGACACGGCCCAGACUCCUACGGGAGGCAGCAGUGGGGAAUAUUGCACAAUGGGGGAAACCCUGAUGCAGCGACGCCGCGUGGAGGAAGAAGGUCUUCGGAUUGUAAACUCCUGUUGUUGGGGAAGAUAAUGACGGUACCCAACAAGGAAGUGACGGCUAACUACGUGCCAGCAGCCGCGGUAAAACGUAGGUCACAAGCGUUGUCCGGAAUUACUGGGUGUAAAGGGAGCGCAGGCGGGAAGACAAGUUGGAAGUGAAAUCUAUGGGCUCAACCCAUAAACUGCUUUCAAAACUGUUUUUCUUGAGUAGUGCAGAGGUAGGCGGAAUUCCCGGUGUAGCGGUGGAAUGCGUAGAUAUCGGGAGGAACACCAGUGGCGAAGGCGGCCUACUGGGCACCAACUGACGCUGAGGCUCGAAAGUGUGGGUAGCAAACAGGAUUAGAUACCCUGGUAGUCCACACCGUAAACGAUGAUUACUAGGUGUUGGAGGAUUGACCCCUUCAGUGCCGCAGUUAACACAAUAAGUAAUCCACCUGGGGAGUACGACCGCAAGGUUGAAACUCAAAGGAAUUGACGG
rnacentral:rRNA from 1 species